rnacentral:tRNA from 1 species
GGAGGGUAUAGCUCAGUGGUAGAGUGUGUGCUUAGCAUGCACAUGGUCCUGGGUUCAAUCCCCAGUACCUCCA